CAACACACCCGGUCUCGGUGUCCAGCUGAAACGCUUGGUCAAACCUGUCAAUCAAGGCUCAGGCUAUUGUUUCUUGCUUGAUUGACAAGCGGUAUGUUAUUGAUCUCAAUCGAGAUCCCUGCCCUUAUCCCAAUAAAGAGUUUUUUUACGAAAAUGGCCAAUAUCAACAACAACAGACAGACGGCGGCCACACAGACAGGGUACAGUCCAGAUUCCUUUACAGAGACGUCAUUUAUCAACAACAACAGACAGACGGCGGCCUCAUAGACAGGGUACAGUCCAGGAAAAGUCGGAAAGGAUUGUCCUUGUUGUCAGGUCUUUUAAUUUGGAGCAGGCAGUGACAGCGUUUUUCAGAGUGAAAGGGUUAGAUAAACAUGUUGAAAGAAAUGUUUUGUACGUUUAUUUUUUCUACUGUAAAUGAAAGAAAAAAGAUACAUUAAAACACAAACAGUGGGGCAGUUCAACCCUCGCUCUCAUUUCUUGAAUGUUACGAGUAUGUGAAAAUAUAUUAAGGAAAAAAAAUUAUUUGGAAAGGUGAAUUUGAUUUGCAAACUUUAAACAUGUUUUUAGUUAUUGUUUCUA